rnacentral:lncRNA from 1 species
AUGAAAGCCACUCUCCUCUUUUCUGGAUGUGCUAGAUCAGAGCAACCUCUGGCCAGUUACCACUCAUGUACACGGGAUAUAAUAGUGUCUUAUUGGGUUGUGCCUGGGAAGGGAUGUUUUCCUACUACUUCCUAUCUUGCUUGUAGGUAUAGUUUUAUUGCACUGUGUUAUAUUAAGGUAAAAGAAAAAGAGCCUUGCCAAGUACCUGAGAUUUUGUCUGCCUGUCUAUCUAUCUAUCUAACCCACCUAAUUUUCUCCCACGAGAAAGCAAAGUUUUCCCACAUAAAUUAGAUAGGCCUAUAAGAUUAGGAACAUUUUUUUAAAUCUGUUGCCUCACUCUGGAGUUAAAAGAUCAACAUUAAAGCCAGUGUGAGCAUUAAUGACUGUGCUACCUAAGGCAACUCAUUCAGUCUUUGCUGGCCUCAGUUCUGGGUCUGAGACACGGGAUUGAGUGAGUUCUAAAUUGGAAUACAGUGGACAAUUGUUUCAGGCCACAGGUCAAGUUGGGACAACACCAGGGCUUAGAAAAGGCCGUAGGGUUUAUCCUCUGCCCCACACCACCAGAGAAAGCUCACCAGACAAAAGCCAGUACACUUUAGUCUGAUAUGCUUCUCUGUAUCACUUGGGCAUUUUGCUGACCUCACCAAAUAAAUGGUCCUACAGACAUCAUGGGCUUGCCCGGUGGCUCAGAGGUUAAAAGAAUUCACCUGCAGUGCAGGAGAUACAGAAGUGAGAUCAAUUCUUGGGUCGGGAAGAUCCCUAGAGGAUGAAAUGGGUACGCACUCCAGUAUUCUUGCCUGGAGAAUCCCUCAGAGGAACCUGGAGGGCUACAGUAAAUGGGGUCACACCGAGUUAGGGGGGUACGACUGAAGGGACUGAGCAUACACGCACACUCAGACAUCAAAGGGACACAGAUUUCUUCCUGCCUCAUGCUGAACUCAUAGACCCGGAUGUGGAGUCCUGAGUGUUAUGAGACCUAUCCCUUCACAGAGGCAGCCAGGCCUCCAAAUGGCAGUUCAGAUUGAGCUAGGGACCUCGGAGGCAGGGGAGGGUCCCUGAGCUGAGGGGCUCUCACAGCUGCCAGUCCCGCCCAUGACUGUUUCAGAAGCAUCACUGCACUAGGCUGGGCCUAAUCAGUUCUGUCCAGAUCAGGGCUGCUUAUGGAGUACAGAGUGUCACAGCUUAGCCCGGUUUCUCACAUGUUCAACACUCGCUUUAUUCUUUCCCUUGAGUGACAAUUCUCGAGGGUCAACACGCUCUUCGUCCAGCAUACCAAAUCCUGCAUGAGGGAGGGCUGGCGUUGUUCCAAGCAGGCCAAAGUCAUGGGUUUUCUCUCGCUGAUGCCUUUUAACCACAAGGGAGUUGCAGGAUCUUUGAACACUCCUGUGGAUGUAUUUCAAGAUCCUUCUCUUCAGGCUCUGGCAAUUCCACAGUUUACCUUGAUCCCCGGUGAACAGGUUGGGAGAGCCUGCCAUUAUGACUCUUACGUGAUGCUCUGGGCUUCUGAGCCCCUUCACAAGUGAUCAGUGCUGCUCUCCAAGGGCAGGCGGUGGCAUUUGUCUUCACUGUGUUCUUUCUCCAAAUUUGAUUUCUUUUUCUUUUUGACUCCUUUUUUGCUUCUAAAACAUGUUUUCCUCCAGUGACUUGGGAAUGAGUGUAUGAUUUUCAAACAGAACAAGUUCACAGUUUUUGUUUUCUUCUGUUCAACAUCAAAAACACCAUUGUAAACUGGAGACAUAAAGCAGAUUUAUCAGCUUCUACAGUCUUUAUGUCCAAAUAUUUCUCUUUUUUCCUCAUGUUUUAAAAUCAUCAGAUAGUAAAAUUGACUCUAUAUUGUUGUGGGGGUUUUUUUGGUGUUUCAUUCUAAGAAUUUUAUCANNNNNNNNNNNNNNNNNNNNNNNNNNNNNNNNNNNNNNNNNNNNNNNNNNNNNNNNUGCCAAUGCAGGAGACAUAAGAGAUGCAGGUUUGAUCCCUGGGUCAGGAAUCCCUACAGCGGGCUACAGCUCAUCAUAGUCACAGUCAGACAUAACUGAAGCACACACACACACACAUUGAUUCAUGUCACCACCAUCAUAAGCAAGACAGAGUUUCCUUCACCUGUUACCCUUUUACUCUCAAAUCUUUCCUGCACCUCCUAUAUGACAACCACCAUCAUAUAGGAUCAGCUUUCCCAGAAGAUGUACAAAUGGAAUCGUAUAGCGUGUAAUCUCCUGAGUCUGACAUUUCCGUUAGCGCAAUGCAUUUGAGAUCCAUUCACUUUGUAGUAUGUUUAAAGAGUUUAUUCCCUUUUACAGCUGUGUAGUAUUCCAUUGUAUGAGUGUACACUAGAUGUUUAUCCAUUACCUUCUGAAGGAUAUUUGGGUAGCAUCCAGUUUGUGGCAAUUAUAAAUAAUUUCUAUACUAAUUUGUAUAUAGGUCUUUGUGUGAAUGCGUGUUCAUUUUUUCUGGGAUAAAUGCCUCAGAACACAAUUAAUCAGAUCACAUGGUAAACAUAUGUUUAACUUUAUAAGGAAUUGCCAUACUAAAGAAAAAAAUGACUAUACCAUUUAGCACUCAUACUAACACAGUUUACAAGAGUUCCAAUUUUUCCACAACCUUUCAAGCACUGAGUAUUACUGUCAGUAUGUUUCAAUUUUAGCCAUUCUAAUAGAAGUGUAGUGCUUUCUCACCUUGGUUUUAUUUCACAGUUCCCAAAUGGCUAAUGACGGUGAAUAUCUUUUCAUGUGUUAGCUUUCCAUCUUUAUAUCUACUUUGGUCAAAUAUCUGUUAAAGCCUUUUGCCCAUUUUAAAGAUUAAGUUGUUUAUUUUCUUACUGUUGAACUUUGAAAAUUCUUCAUAAAUUCUGAAUGCAAGUCCUUUGUCAGAUAUGUGAUUUGCAAACAUUUUCUCACAGUUCAUAGCUUUUAUUUUCAUUCUCUUAAAAGAGUCUUUGCAAAGCAAAAACACUGAAUUUUGAUGAAGUGCAACUUACCAAUUGUGGUGUCACAUCUAAUAACUCUUUGUUUACUUCUAGGUUACAAAGAUUUUCCUUUUUUUUUUUCCUCAAAGUUUAUAGUUUAAUCCAUGAGUUUAGAUUUAUCAUUCAUUUAAAGUUAAUUUUUGUAUAGAGGGGAUGAGGUUUAAAUUUAGUUUCCUUUUUCUUCAUGUAUAUAUCUAAUUGUUUUAAUGCAUUGGUUGAAAAGACUAUCCUUUCUUCAUUGAAUUGUCUUUUCAUUUUUGUUUAAAAAAAAAUCAGUUGGCCAUGUGGAUUGAUUUCUGAAUUCUCUACUCAGUUAGUUCCACCUGUCUAUGUGUCUAUCCUUUCACUAAUACCACACUGUCUUAUUACCAUAGCUUUGUUAGUCUUAAAAUCCUCUAAUUUUUUUUUCACCUUUAUAAUUGUUUUGGCUAUUCUAAUUCCUUUGCCUAUUUACAUAACAUUUAGAAUCAGAUUGUUUAUAUAGUUAAGAUAUUCUGCUAGGAUUUUGACUGGAAUUACACUAUGUAUCAAUUUGGGGAUAAUUGGCAUCUUUACUAUAUUGUGUAUUCAUUAACAUAAUAUGUCACUCCAUUUAUUUUUGUCUUCUUUGAUUUCUUUCACCAAUUUUUUGUAUUUUGCAGCAUACAGAACAGGUAUGUGUUAUUUAGAAGAGUGUUUCUAGUUUCCAAGAGUUUGCAGAUUUUUCUGUUAUCUUUCUGGUAUUGAUUUCUAGUUUAAUUCUGUUUUGGUCAGAGAACAUACUUUGUAUUAUUUUAAUUCCUUUCAACUUGUUAAGGUUUGUUUUGACCAAGAAUAUGGUCUAUAUUGGUGAAUUUCCCAUGGGUACUUAAGAAAGAAUAUUUCAUAUGCAAUCACCGGGUAGGAAUAGCCUAUAUAUGUCGAUUAAAUGUAGUUGGAAGAUAACACUGUUUAGGUGUUUUAUGUCCUCGCUGAUUUUUUGUGUACUAUGUCUAUGGAUUACUGAGAGAGAAAUUCUGAAAUCUCAAAUAAGAAUUGUGGAUUUGUCUGCUUUUCCUUUAGUUAUAUCACUUUUUGUUUCAUGUGUUUUGGACCUUCUAAAUAAGUGCAUCAUCACAUUUAGAACCACUAUUUCCUCCUAGUAAAUUGUCCCUUUAAUCAUGCUGUCAUUACUCUUUACCCCUGGUAAUUUACUCUGCUCAAAGUNNNNNNNNNNNNNNNNNNNNNNNNNNNNNNNNNNNNNNNNNNNNNNNNNNNNNNNNNNNNNNNNNNNNNNNNNNNNNNNNNNNNNNNNNNNNNNNNNNNGCUCAAAGUUUUACACUGUCAGAUAUUGAAAUAGCCACCCCCAUUUUCUUUUCUUAGUAUUUAAAUGGUAUAUCAUUUCCCACUGUUUUAUUUUUAACCUCCCUAUAUAUUUUGUUUAAGUUUCAUAUAAACUGCAUGUAGUUUGUUCAUUAUUUUUAACCCAUCCACAAAAUCUGUGUCUUUUGGUUGGUAUAUUUAAAACUUUUGCAUUUAAUAUAAUCAUGGUGAAAUUAAGGAUACCAUUUUAUCAUUUGUUUUUUGUUCAUGUCCUCUAUUACUCAUUUCUUUUUUCCAUGUCCUGACUUCUUUUGAGUUAUUUAAACAUUUCUAGUAUUUAAUUCAUCUAAUGUGUUUCUAUUAUAUCUCAGUA